rnacentral:tRNA from 1 species
GCUCUAGUAGUGUCAUUCAACACAUUACUUUUUCAUAGUAAAAAUAGGGCUUUGCCCUCUAAAGUA